ensembl:lncRNA
GGGAGAGAACCUGGUCAGAUCAGUCCAUCGGGAGAGAACCUGGUCAGAUCAGUCCAUGGGGAGAGUCACUAUAACUAACAUGAGGUGAACCAAAACAUGCAGUUUUACAGAAACUCUGUUCAUCAACUAGUCAAAUGUUGCUAACCUGGUUCCAUCAAGGUGUACUGAUGAGGGGUCAAACGUUACAGACCAUGCUGACUUCCUGGUUCCAUCAAGGUGUACUGAUGAGGGGUCAAACGUUACAGACCAUGCUGACUUCCUGGUUCCAUCAAGGUGUACUGAUGAGGGGUCAAACGUUACAGACCAUGCUGACUUCCUGGUUCCAUCAAGGUGUACUGAUGAGGGGUCAAACGUUACAGACCAUGCUGACUUCCUGGUUCCAUCAAGGUGUACUGAUGAGGGGUCAAACGUUACAGACCAUGCUGACUUCCUGGUUCCAUCAAGGUGUACCGAUAGGAGGGGUCAAACGUUACGGAACCAGGAAGUCAGCAUGGUCUAUCAAGGUGUACUGAUGAGGGGUCAAUCGUUGCUAACCUGGUUCCAUCAAGGUGUACUGAUGAGGGGUCAAACGUUACAGACCAUGCUGACUUCCUGGUUCCAUCAAGGUGUUCUGCUAUGAGGAGUCAAACAGAACAUCUCUCCUACUGUACAGUAGGUAACAGAACAUCUCUGCUACUGUAGUCUAGUGUCUGUGAGCUGCAGGUAACAGAACAUCUCUGCUACUGUAGCCUAGUGGCUGUACAGUAGGUAACAUCUCUGCUACUGUAGCCUAGUGGCUGUACAGUAGGUAACAUCUCUGCUACUGUAGCCUAGUGGCUGUACAGUAGGUAACAGAACAUCUCUGCUACUGUAGCCUAGUGUCUGUACAGUAGGAAACAAAGCAUCUCUGCUACUGUAGCCAAGUGUCAACAGUAGGAAACAAAGCAUCUCUGCUACUGUAGCCUAGUGUCUGUCCAGUAGGAAACAGAACAUCUCUGCUACUGUAGUCUAGUGUCUGUCCAGUAGGAAACAGAACAUCUCUGCUACUGUAGUCUAGUGUCUGUACAGUAGGUAACAGAACAUCUCUGCUACUGUGGCCUAGUGUCUGUACAGUAGGUAACAGAACAUCUCUGCUACUGUGGCCUAGUGUCUGUACAGUAGGUAACAGAACAUCUCUGCUACUGUGGCCUAGUGUCUGUACAGUAGGUAACAGAACAUCUCUGCUACUGUGGCCUAGUGUCUGUACAGUAGGUAACAGAACAUCUCUGCUACUGUAGCCUAGUGUCUGUACAGUAGGUAACAGAACAUCUCUGCUACUGUGGCCUAGUGUCUGAGCUGUAGGUAAGAAUGUUGAGGAGGAGGAGUGGUCCUAAUGAAACUAGAUGACAUCAUCAAUCAUCUGAAAGUCAAACCAGCCAGCACAUUCAACGUAGUGAUUAUAGUGGGGGCUGAAAUUAUAUUCAACAUAGUGAUUAUUCUGGAUAGUGGGGGCUGAAAUGAUUGACACCCUUGAUAAAGAUGAGCAAAAACAAUUCAUAUUCUGAGUUAUAUUUUAUGCUUAAACAUUUCCCAAAUUGUAUACUUAUACAAUUGUUCAAAGAGAUUGUUAAACAAAAUGUUCUCCUCAAAUGUUAGUAAAAAUUGACACCAGUUUUCAAUACCUCACCUUGCGAGGAUAACGGCGUGGCCUUUUUCUAAAAUGUUUUCUGAGAAGGUAAUAAACAUAGGAAGGGAUCUUAAACUAUCCCUCCAUACAGAAUCCUUUCAGAUCAUAGAUAUCCUGCUUCCUCUGGGGUUAUGGUCUGCCCUCUUCCAUUCAAAACACAGCUUUUCAAUGGGGUUCAAGUGCCUGGCCAAAGAGCUCUCAUGUUAUCCAACUGGUCUGACUGGCCAAAGAGCUCUAUUCUCAUGUUAUCUGACUGGCCAAAGAGCUCUAUUACCAUGUUAUCUGACUGGCCAAAGAGCUCUAUCAUGUUAUCCAACUUGUCUGGCUGGCCAAAGAGCUCUAUCAUCAUGUUAUCUGACUGGCCAAAGAGCUCUAUUAUCAUGUUAUCUGACUGGCCAAAGAGCUCUAUUCUCAUGUUAUAUCCAACUGGUCUGACUGGCCAAAGAGCUCUUAUCAUGUUAUAUCCAACUGGUCUGACUGGCCAAAGAGCUCUAUCAUGUUAUAUCUGACUGGCCAAAGAGCUCUAUUACCAUGUUAUCCAACUGGUCUGACUGGCCAAAGAGCUCUUAUCAUGUUAUCCAACUGGCCAAAGAGCUCUAUUAUCAUGUUAUCUGACUGGACAAAGAGCUCUAUUAUCAUGUUAUCCAACUGGUCUGACUGGUCAAAGAGCUCUAUCAUGUUAUCCAACUGGUCUGGCUGGCCAAAGAGCUCUAUUAUCAUGUUAUCUGACUGGCCAAAGAGCUCUAUUACCAUGUUGUCUGACUGGCCAAAGAGCUCUAUCAUGUUAUCUGACUGGCCAAAGAGCUCUAUUACCAUGUUAUCUGACUGGUCAAAGAGCUCUAUUCUCAUGUUAUAUCCAACUGGUCUGGCUGGCCAUAGCUCUAUUAUCAUGUUAUCUGACUGGCCAAAGAGCUCUAUCAUGUUAUCCAACUGGUCUGGCUGGCCAAAGAGCUCUAUUAUCAUGUUAUCCAACUGGUCUGACUGGCCAUAGAGCUCUAUCAUGUUAUCCAACUGGUCUGGCUGGCUGUUAAGGGAAUUUUUAUCAAUGAUGACUAAUUAUGUAUACAUUUCAAUCAGGACUGACUAAUCAGAAUACUAGUAUGUUACUGUAUAUGUACUAAUCUGAAUACUAUUAUGUUAUUGUAUAAAUCAAAUAAAAUGUUAUUUGUCACACACACAUGGUUAGCAGAUGUUAAUGCGAGUGUAGAGAAAUGCUUGUGCUUCUAGUUCCGACAAUGCAGUAAUAACCAACAAGUAAUCUAACUAACAAUUCC